GCAAGUAACCCUUUCAGCACUCCAGCCAAAUUUCCUCCUCCCAGCCAACAACCCCCCUUUUUUUGUUUUGUUUUGCCUGACCACAUCUCCUAGUUUUCCUUUGUGUUCCUCCCAGGAAUGCUUUAGAAUUAGCGGUAACUCUUUGCAGUGGUUGGACUUCCGGGAAAGAUGGCGAAUUAGGGGGAGCCAUCUCUCCCAGGCCACCCAGGGCUGAUCCAGACGCAGGAGUUCGGAACCAGACGGAGGAGACCCUAAACCGACGGGCUAGAGAAAAGGUGAAGCCCCAUCGAACCUUCAAAGGCAGAAGUGGAGGUAGGGGAGCAGCUGAACGCCGGGAGAAGCGGGGAGGGAGCCCGGCCAUGCGCUCUGCUUUAGAGCAGACCCCGAAGCAAAACACGGGAGGAGAAGAGAAGCGGGGAGAUCAUCCCCACGUUUCGCUCUGUCCCCGGAUCUCCCCCCCCGCCCAACAAAGGGGAGACCCAGGUUCAGACCCGGGUCCCGAGUCGCCAGCGACUCUAGCCGCAUUUUGGAGAGAGGGACGCAGCGAUUGCGCCACCGGAGAGCCGGGAUCGCGAGGCGCAGGAGAAGGCGCGCGGCGGCUUUUGGCGCUGCCUCCCUGAAACCACUGCUGUCGCUUUGACCCUCGGCCAGCUGGGUCUGCGGAGCCCGCUACCGCGGGUCGGGACCCCCCAAGCCCAGCCGGUCCGCUUUGGACUGGGUGAGCGCGGAGGAGACGGAGAAUGGUGGCGCCCACGGAGGAGGCCUGAGCCGACAAAGGCUCCCUCCUGCGGACGCUACCGAUCUCCAAGCCUCGUGAGUUCCCAAAAGCUACAAAAACCACCCUCAGGUUGGUGCGCCCCAACGGAGACUUUCAGAAAUAAACAAACAGAUAAUUUUUUAAAAAAAUGUUUCCUUUUUAUCAGUUUUCCUUAUUUUUACUCUAGUCUUACGUUUAUUCCUUAAUCAUGACCCCUCCCCGCUUUUUAAAUUUUUUAAAAUGUUGCUGCUACUACUACUCCUCUUAUCAUUGCUUUCUCCCUUCCCCCCUUUUUCUUCUUUUCUUAUUAAUUUUAUCACCAUUAUUAUUAUCAAUAUUUGAAUUCCCCACCCUUCCCACCACACCAGGGAGACGGGGGAAAGAUAUUUUAGCUAUGCAGCAGAAUAAACCAGGAUUUUUUACUUUAAAUUUUUAACUUCACCAUCCAUUUUUAAACUUAACUCUCUACCUUGAUUUUUUACCUUCAUCUUUAAAUUCUUAUCCUUAUCCUUAUACUUUUUAUUUGCACAUCUUCAUUUUUCUUCUUACUUCAAUAUUUUACACACACACAAUCCCCUACCACCACCCAUCUCUCCCCCCCCCUUUUCCUUCCCCCUGUACCAGGGCCAUAGCUAGGGGGUGGUGAAGUAAGCCCCUGCCAAGGGUGCAGGUGAGGGUUUGGGGUUUUUUUUGCAAAAUCGGCUUAAAAUAUGUCCAUAAAUAUAUCUGUAAAUAAAAAUAUCAUUUAUUGCAUCAUAAGAAAAGGUUUUUAACAGAGGGUGAAUUGAAUGGGUGGAAAGAAGAGUUAAUUUGUCCGUGGCUAAGGGGCACAAUCUGGACGGUUCUGCCAGGGGCGCAAGAUCACCCAGCUGUGGCUCUGCCCUGUAUAUUUUUACUUGUAUCUUGUAUGCUUGCACAUUUGUCCCUCUGUCUGAUUGUUUGUCCUUGUUUGUCUGUCCAUUAUUCUGCCACCAGGGCAUUCUGCCACCACUCAGCCACUGCGGUCCGAGAGAAGUCCUUGAACCAACCAACCCGCUCCUGGGAGGUCAGCUGUCCUUAGGGAAGCAAGAGCGAAACAAGGGCAUGGUAAAAGGAAAGAGGCUCACCAAAAUCAUCGACUGCAACAUUUAAGACCCACAGCCCAGACGCAACAGCGAGGGGUACUUAAGGUGAAAGCAAGACACAACAGCAAGAGACCUGCAGAACCCCACCCCUACCGCCAAAAGCCACACCACACAACCCGAAAGAGAUCGACGGGAAAGCCAAAAUGGCCACAACCAAGGGGGAUACCGAAACCACAGAGACCGCCAUGGCCCCAGGAAACAGUCACACAAUACAACCACAACAGGACCCAGAAGACGUUGACCAGAAAGUUAACAAAACCACCAAAGAAAUGGCUAAACUGAUGAAACAAUUAGAAGAGAUGGUGGCCAAGGUCGAUACUCUCAGAGGCAGCAUUACCUCCUUGGAGAGGAAGAACCAGAUACAAGGAAAGCAUUUACAACAAGUACAUAAAGAAAACAGGGAGCUGAAAAGCAAGCUAGCGGACCUUGAGAAACGCUUAACAGUGGUUUCAAACUCUUCCAAUGCAGCCUUGUGUUAGUGUGUUGUUUACAAUAGAAUAAAACUUGCUAACUGUUUGUC